GCUUCAGUAGCUCAGUUGGUUAGAGCACAUGACUGUUAAUCAUGGCGUCGUUGGUUCAAGCCCAUCCUGAAGCGCCA
rnacentral:tRNA from 1 species